rnacentral:rRNA from 1 species
GUAGGUGGCAAGCGUUGUCCGGAAUUAUUGGGCGUAAAGCGCGCGCAGGCGGUUCUUUAAGUCUGAUGUAAAAGCCCACGGCUCAACCGUGGAGGGUCAUUGGAAACUGGAGAACUUGAGUACAGAAGAGGAAAGCGGAAUUCCACGUGUAGCGGUGAAAUGCGUAGAGAUGUGGAGGAACACCAGUGGCGAAGGCGGCUUUCUGGUCUGUAACUGACGCUGAGGCGCGAAAGCGUGGGGAGCAAACAGGGAUUGGAUACCCUGGUAGUCCACGCCGUAAACGAUGAGUGCUAAGUGUUAGGGGGUUUCCCGCCCCUUAGUGCUGCAGCUAACGCAUUAAGCACUCCGCCUGGGGAGUACGGCCGCAAGGCUG